CGAAUGGCUCAUUAUAACAGCUAUAAUUUACUUGAUCUUGACACAAUCCUACUUGGAUAACUGUGGUAAUUCUAGAGCUAAUACAUGCAUUAAAGCUCUGACCUCACGGGAAGAGUGCAUUUAUUAGAACAAAACCAAGCGGCUUCGGCUGUUUCUGGUUGACUCAUAGUAACUGAGCUGAUCGCAUGGUCUUGCACCGGCGACGUGUCUUUCAAGUAUCUGCCGUAUCAACUUUCGAUGGUAGUGUAUCUGACUACCAUGGUGAUCACGCGUAACGGAGAAUAAGGGUUCGGCUCCGGAGAGUUCGCCUGAGAAAUCGCGAACACAUCUAAGGAAGGCAGCAGGCGCGAAAAUUACCCACUCUCAGCACGAGGAGGUAGUGACGAAAAAUAACGAGACCGUUCUCUUAUGAGGCCGGUCAUCGGAAUGGGUACAAUUUAAACCCUUUAACGAGUAUCUAUGAGAGGGCAAGUCUGGUGCCAGCAGCCGCGGUAAUUCCAGCUCUCAAAGUGCAUAGAAUUAUUGCUGCGGUUAAAAAGCUCGUAGUUGGAUCUGUGCCAUAGGACGUGGUCCACCUUCGGGUGCGUACUACGCUCCUAGGCUUUUUGCUGGUUUUCCCGUCGUAGCCUUCACUGGUUGCGGCGGGUGGCUGGCGAGUUUACUUUGAGAAAAUCAGAGUGCUCAAUACAGGCGUAUCGCUUGAAUGAUUGUGCAUGGAAUAAUAGAAAAGGAUUUCGGUCCUCUUUUAUUGGUUUUGUGGACUGAGAUAAUGGUUAACAGGGACAAACGGGGGCAUUCGUAUCUCUGCGUGAGAGGUGAAAUUCUUGGACCGUAGAGAGACGCCCUACUGCGAAAGCAUUUGCCAA
rnacentral:rRNA from 1 species